rnacentral:tRNA from 1 species
GCCUUCGUGGUGUAGUGGUAAGCACGCUGGACGCGUAAUCCACAGGUCCGUGGUUCGAGUCCCGGCGAAGGGG